AUACGUAGGGGGCGAGCGUUGUCCGGAAUGAUUGGGCGUAAAGGGCGCGUAGGCGGCCCGGUAAGUCUGGAGUGAAAGUCCUGUUUUUAAGAUGGGAAUUGCUUUGGAUACUGUCGGGCUUGAGUGCAGGAGAGGUAAGUGGAAUUCCCAGUGUAGCGGUGAAAUGCGUAGAGAUUGGGAGGAACACCAGUGGCGAAGGCGACUUACUGGACUGUAACUGACGCUGAGGCGCGAAAGUGUGGGGAGCAACCAGGAUUAGAUACCCUGGUAGUCCACACUGUAAACGAUGAAUGCUAGGUGUAGGGGGUAUCGACCCCUUCUGUGCCGCAGUCAACACAAUAAGCAUUCCGCCUGGGGAGUACGGCCGCAAGGUUGGAACUCAAAUGAAUUGACGGGG
rnacentral:rRNA from 1 species